rnacentral:rRNA from 1 species
GGGUUGUGAGGUUAAGCGACUAAGCGUACACGGUGGAUGCCCUGGCAGUCAGAGGCGAUGAAGGACGUGCUAAUCUGCGAAAAGCGUCGGUAAGGUGAUAUGAACCGUUACAGCCGGCGAUGUCCGAAUGGGGAAACCCAGUGCAAUUCGUUGCACUAUCGUUAACUGAAUACAUAGGUUAACGAGGCGAACCGGGGGAACUGAAACAUCUAAGUACCCCGAGGAAAAGAAAUCAACCGAGAUUCCCCCAGUAGCGGCGAGCG